rnacentral:rRNA from 1 species
GUUGAACGCUGGCGGCAGGCUUAACACAUGCAAGUCGAGCGGAGCGAGGGUGCUUGCACCUUAGCUUAGCGGCGGACGGGUGAGUAAUGCUUAGGAAUCUGCCUAUUAGUGGGGGACAACAUUCCGAAAGGAAUGCUAAUACCGCAUACGCCCUACGGGGGAAAGCAAGGGAUCUUCGGACCUUGCGCUAAUAGAUGAGCCUAAGUCGGAUUAGCUAGUUGGUGGGGUAAAGGCCUGCCAAGGCGACGAUCUGUAGCGGGUCUGAGAGGAUGAUCCGCCCCACUGGGACUGAGACACGGCCCAGACUCCUACGGGAGGCAGCAGUGGGGAAUAUUGGACAAUGGGCGGAAGCCUGAUCCAGCCAUGCCGCGUGUGUGAAGAAGGCCUUUUGGUUGUAAAGCACUUUAAGCGAGGAGGAGGCUACUUAGAUUAAUACUCUGGGAUAGUGGACGUUACUCGCAGAAUAAGCACCGGCUAACUCUGUGCCAGCCGCCGCAGUAA